rnacentral:rRNA from 1 species
CCCAGACUCCUACGGGAGGCAGCAGUAGGGAAUCUUCCGCAAUGGACGAAAGUCUGACGGAGCAACGCCGCGUGAGUGAUGAAGGCUUUCGGGUCGUAAAACUCUGUUGUUAGGGAAGAACAAGUGCUAGUUGAAUAAGCUGGCACCUUGACGGUACCUAACCAGAAAGCCACGGCUAACUACGUGCCAGCAGCCGCGGUAAUACCA